CCUGCAAAUAAAGCGCCAGAAUGCAGUCCAGCGAUGAGGAGAAAUGUAAAAUGCAAAGAACUAAAAGUAUUAUUUCGGGGCUACAGUUUCUGGCUUUAGCAAGUGAAAUGGCAGAAAGUGACAGAAGCGGUAAACAAAGCGAGUCCAGCGCCGCAGACUUUGGAGGAGUUGAAGAAAAGUGGUUUAACUUCGAGCCAGAGACGAAUCUCUGCGCAGUGACAGUGUGCAAGCUGCUGAAGGAGGAGGGGAUCCCUGCGCUCCCUCUGCCUGAUGUGCGUCAUCAUCAUGAGGCUGAACGUGGGGACUGGAUGCGAGAAAGGGGGAUGACAUGCAGCAAAUGGCCAAAAGUCACUCUUGAACCCUGGGCCACUGCAGCGAGGACAAAUACUCUGUACAUGGGUCACAUGCUCUACCAACUGAUCUAUUGGGGCGUGUGUUGUAGCCUUUUUGUUGUGUGCAGGUAAAAAAAGAAAAAAAAACCCCACAAUGCUACAUUCAGAGUGAACACAAUAAAUGCAGUAUAUUCACUGAUUCUUUUAUAGGGCUAACAGUGUUUAUUUGGGUUCUGUCCCCAAUGUGCAACUAACACACACAGGAUAAUUUUGCAAGUUAUUAUAAAAGUUGAUUGUGGAUCACCUUUCACCCAAGCACAGUUUAAUUUCAGCUUUCAGUGGAUUUUGUUGACCAAUCUAAGACAUAAUGGUCCAUGGCAGGUAAAAUUACUUGUAACAUCGUGCAAACUGUACUGCUGCCAUGAUCAUCAAAAGUUUUAAAAUCCUGCCUUCAAAAACAAACAGCUGUCUAUCACCCAAGCCUCAGAGUUUAAAAGAGGAUCUGUUACCAACUCAUUCACUUGGAUUCAUUAAG